rnacentral:tRNA from 1 species
AGUUAAUUAGCAUAAUAGCAUUAUAUCUUGAAAAUAUAAAAAAAGAAUAAACUUUCUAUUAACUU